rnacentral:rRNA from 1 species
CCUACGGGAGGCAGCAGUGGGGAAUAUUGGACAAUGGGCGCAAGCCUGAUCCAGCCAUACCGCGUGGGUGAAGAAGGCCUUCGGGUUGUAAAGCCCUUUUGUUGGGAAAGCGGUACCCAAAGAAUAAGCACCGGCUAACUUCGUGCCAGCAGCCGCGGUAAUACGAAGGGUGCAAGCGUUACUCGGAAUUACUGGGCGUAAAGCGUGCGUAGGUGGUUGUUUAAGUCUGUUGUGAAAGCCCUGGGCUCAACCUGGGAAUUGCAGUGGAUACUGGGCGACUAGAGUGUGGUAGAGGGUAGUGGAAUUCCCGGUGUAGCAGUGAAAUGCGUAGAGAUCGGGAGGAACAUCCAUGGCGAAGGCAGCUACCUGGACCAAACUGACACUGAGGCACGAAAGCGUGGGGAGCAAACAGGAUUAGAUACCCUUGUAGUC